GGCAUGCCUAACACAUGCAAGUCGAACGGUAACGCGGAGUAGCUUGCUCUCUGGCGACGAGUGGCGGACGGGUGAGUAAUACUUAGGAAUCUGCCCAGUAGUGGGGGACAACUCGGGGAAACUCGAGCUAAUACCGCAUACGCCCUACGGGGGAAAGCGGGGGAUCUUCGGACCUCGCGCUAUUGGAUGAGCCUAAGUCGGAUUAGCUUGUUGGUGAGGUAAUAGCUCACCAAGGCGACGAUCCGUAGCUGGUCUGAGAGGACGAUCAGCCACACUGGGACUGAGACACGGCCCAGACUCCUACGGGAGGCAGCAGUGGGGAAUAUUGGACAAUGGGCGCAAGCCUGAUCCAGCAAUGCCGCGUGUGUGAAGAAGGCCUGCGGGUUGUAAAGCACUUUCAGUAGAGAAGAAAAGCCUAGGGUUAAUAGCCCUGAGUCUUGACGUAACCUACAGAAGAAGCACCGGCUAACUCCGUGCCAGCAGCCGCGGUAAUACGGAGGGUGCGAGCGUUGUUCGGAAUUAUUGGGCGUAAAGAGCAUGUAGGCGGUUGUUUAAGUCUGAUGUGAAAGCCCUGGGCUCAACCCAGGAAGUGCAUUGGAUACUGGACAACUUGAGUACGGGAGAAGAAAGUGGAAUUUCGAGUGUAGGGGUGAAAUCCGUAGAUAUUCAAAG
rnacentral:rRNA from 1 species